rnacentral:lncRNA from 1 species
AAUCCAUCUGAAAUGAAGGAGUGUUAUAAAUAACCAAGCAGAAAACAUUGAGUUGUAUUCAAAAUCAAAACCCGAAAAGAUUUAACAAAGAAUAAUUACGAAGAAUGACGAAUACUUGACAUUCAGCAUGCUAACAUUAGGUCUGUUUUGUAGACAAUCAGAUGUUGAAAUAAUAACUCCCAUCUGGAAUGAAGGGAUAAAUAGCAGAGCAGAAAACAUUAAUUAAAAAAAAAAUCAAACAAGAAAAACCGAACAGAUUUAACAAAGAAUAAUUAUGAGAAAAUAAAAAAGAUUAAUUGUCAUGUUGGCAUGAGGUCUUUUUGUAGACAAUCAGGUGCUAAAAUAAUAAAUCUCAUCUGGAAUGAAGGAAUUUUAUAAAUAGCUGACCAAAAACUUGAAAAACCGAAAAGAUUUAAAAACGAAUAAUUACGAGAAAAUAAAAAAUAAAUGUCAUUCAAAAUGACGAUAGUUAGACAAUUAUUUAAUGUCGAAAUAAUAAAUCUCAGCUGGAAUGAAGAGAUUUUAUAAAUGGCGGAGCAGAAAACAUUAAGUUUUAUUCAAAAUCAAACAAGAAACAUCGAAAAUAUUUAA